AUUGAACGCUGGCGGCAGGCCUAACACAUGCAAGUCGAGCGGCAGCGGGAAAGUAGCUUGCUACUUUUGCCGGCGAGCGGCGGACGGGUGAGUAAUGCCUGGGAAAUUGCCCAGUCGCGGGGGAUAACAGUUGGAAACGACUGCUAAUACCGCAUACGCCCUACGGGGGAAAGCAGGGGACCUUCGGGCCUUGCGCGAUUGGAUAUGCCCAGGUGGGAUUAGCUAGUUGGUGAGGUAAUGGCUCACCAAGGCGACGAUCCCUAGCUGGUCUGAGAGGAUGAUCAGCCACACUGGAACUGAGACACGGUCCAGACUCCUACGGGAGGCAGCAGUGGGGAAUAUUGCACAAUGGGGGAAACCCUGAUGCAGCCAUGCCGCGUGUGUGAAGAAGGCCUUCGGGUUGUAAAGCACUUUCAGCGAGGAGGAAAGGUUGAUGCCUAAUACGUAUCAACUGUGACGUUACUCGCAGAAGAAGCACCGGCUAACUACGUGCCAGCAGCCGCCGUAAGAC
rnacentral:rRNA from 1 species